ensembl:snRNA U2 U2 spliceosomal RNA
GCGGCUUCUCAGCCUUUUGGCUAAGAUCAAAGUGUAGUCUUUGUUCUUAUCAGCUGGAAGCCAGAAACUGUUGAAGUUACAUUCGUCAGUAUUAAAUUGAAAUGGGAGAACAUAGAACUAGAAACUGAUAGAACUAGUUAUACCAGUACUCCCGAUGAUGCUUGAUCACCCGUA